rnacentral:rRNA from 1 species
UACGGAGGGAGCUAGCGUUAUUCGGAAUUACUGGGCGUAAAGCGCACGUAGGCGGCUUUGUAAGUAAGAGGUGAAAGCCUGGAGCUCAACUCCAGAACUGCCUUUUUAGACUGCAUCGCUUGAAUCCAGGAGAGGUGAGUGGAAUUCCGAGUGUAGAGGUGAAAUUCGUAGAUAUUCGGAGGAACACCAGUGGCGAAGGCGGCUCACUGGUCCAUUACUGACGCUGAGGUGCGAAAAGCGUGGGGGAGCAAACAGG